GACGAACGCUGGCGGCGUGCUUAACACAUGCAAGUCGAACGGAAAGGCCCUGCUUUUGUGGGGUGCUCGAGUGGCGAACGGGUGAGUAACACGUGAGUAACCUGCCCUUGACUUUGGGAUAACUUCAGGAAACUGGGGCUAAUACCGGAUAGGAGCUCCUGCUGCAUGGUGGGGGUUGGAAAGUUUCGGCGGUUGGGGAUGGACUCGCGGCUUAUCAGCUUGUUGGUGGGGUAGUGGCUUACCAAGGCUUUGACGGGUAGCCGGCCUGAGAGGGUGACCGGCCACAUUGGGACUGAGAUACGGCCCAGACUCCUACGGGAGGCAGCAGUGGGGAAUAUUGCACAAUGGGCGGAAGCCUGAUGCAGCAACGCCGCGUGCGGGAUGACGGCCUUCGGGUUGUAAACCGCUUUCGCCUGUGACGAAGCGUGAGUGACGGUAAUGGGUAAAGAAGCACCGGCUAACUACGUGCCAGCAGCCGCGGUGAUACGUAGGGUGCGAGCGUUGUCCGGAUUUAUUGGGCGUAAAGGGCUCGUAGGUGGUUGAUCGCGUCGGAAGUGUAAUCUUGGGGCUUAACCCUGAGCGUGCUUUCGAUACGGGUUGACUUGAGGAAGGUAGGGGAGAAUGGAAUUCCUGGUGGAGCGGUGGAAUGCGCAGAUAUCAGGAGGAACACCAGUGGCGAAGGCGGUUCUCUGGGCCUUUCCUGACGCUGAGGAGCGAAAGCGUGGGGAGCGAACAGGCUUAGAUACCCUGGUAGUCCACGCUGUAAACGGUGGGUACUAGGUGUGGGGUCCAAUCCACGGGUUCCGUGCCGUAGCUAACGCUUUAAGUACCCCGCCUGGGGAGUACGGCCGCAAGGCUAAAACUCAAAGGAAUUGACGGGGCCCCGCACAAGCGGCGGAGCAUGCGGAUUAAUUCGAUGCAACGCGUAGAACCUUACCUGGGUUUGACAUGGAUCGGGAGUGCUCAGAGAUGGGUGUGCCUCUUUUGGGGUCGGUUCACAGGUGGUGCAUGCCUGUCGUCAGCUCGUGUCGUGAGAUGUUGGGUUAAGUCCCGCAACGAGCGCAACCCUUGUUCACUGUUGCCAGCACGUUAUGGUGGGGACUCAGUGGAGACCGCCGGGGUCAACUCGGAGGAAGGUGGGGAUGACGUCAAGUCCUCAUGCCCCUUAUGUCCAGGGCUUCACGCAUGCUACGAUGGCUGGUACAGAGAGUGGCGAGCCUGUGAGGGUGAGCGAAUCUCGGAAAGCCGGUCUCAGUUCGGAUUGGGGUCUGCAACUCGACCUCAUGAAGUCGGAGUCGCUAGUAAUCGCAGAUCAGCAACGCUGCGGUGAAUACGUUCCCGGGGCU
rnacentral:rRNA from 1 species